AUAAUAUUACUUAUUUUGUCAUAAACUUAUUUUGCCAUUUUACAAACAGACAGAAAAAAAAAUUAAAGUUCUCUUAACUCGCAUAUUCGGCCGAUUCAAACUCCCCUCGAACACCACUAUUCUACUAGAAACGGUGACCGACGAAGCGUAGAGGUCCGAUUUACAACCAAGACUCGAAGGCUGCCAAUUUCAGCCUUGAAAUCCCCUCCAGAACUCCGAUUUCAACGAAGAAGGAGAAGAUUUCAGCUGCCUAUUUGCGAAUCUUCAAAUGGAAGGAUUAAGCGUAGCAGAUGCUAAUUUGUUGAUGUAUUUACACCCAUCAAAGAGUAGGAACGUGUCUCAGUCGAUUCUCCGUGAGCUUGGCUCUUUGCUAUUCAAGUUUAAUGAAACAUUUGAUGGUGUUUUAUUGGCCUAUGAUGUCAAUAUUCUGGAUAAACAGGCGAAAAUUCUUUCUGGUGUUCAUCCUUAUUUUGGUCUUAGACUAAAAGCAAAUCUCCUACUUUUUUCACCAAAGCCAGAUAUGCUCUUAGAGGGGAAGGUAGUGAAGCUUUCUCAAGAAUCUAUUCAUGUUAUUGUUCUCGGUUUCUCGUCUGCCAUCAUAACAGCUGAAAACAUUCAUGGAGAAUUUAAAUAUAGAACCAAAGACAAAGAGGAACUAUUUGCCAGCAAAUCUCACAAGCGACAUGUCAUAAAGGUUGGAACCAUGAUCCGAUUUUUAGUCAAGAGUUUUGAUGAGGAAAUACUUCAUAUCAUUGGAUCUCUGAUAUCAACUAACACAGGAAGCAUUCGUUGGUUGAAUAGACAUUUGGAGGAAGAUUCAGAAUUUGAUAGGAGUUCUAUGAAGAGUAGAGAUAGAGAAUGGCUUGGGGAUAACACUGUUGAUGAGGGAGCAACUCCCAUGAGCUACGAUAAUCAUAUUAAAAUGUCCAAAAAGCGUAGAAUCACAGAAUGAUGGUGAUGAUUACUUCAAAUCACUAAUUAUAUUAGGAGAUUUCUUGUUGUCAGGUAGUGGGGAGUGGUGGGCUGAAGGUCCAUGUAGAUGAAGGUAUAUUGCUUCUGGUGAUUGCUUCGGUAAGGAAUUGUUCUUCUGUUGAAGCUUGCUAAAAUUUUGAAAUCUUCCCUUCAAUUUUUCUGGUCGUUUUUUGUAUGUGACCAAGAUUGAAAAUUCCAGAUUCCCAAGUCGAUAAAAGAGAUUGCAAUUUUUUUCUCCUGUGAAGUAGGCGAUUUUUGUUUCCUAAUGAUGUAUGUUGAGUGACUUUUUUGUACGUUGUACAAGUAUAGACUUGGUCUUAUCUAUAAUAUGUUAACAUCGAAUUUAGCAAAAGGAAA